AGAGUUUGAUCAUGGCUCAGGACGAACGCUGGCGGCGUGCCUAAUACAUGCAAGUAGAACGCUGAAGAAAGGAGCUUGCUUCUUUUGGAUGAGUUGCGAACGGGUGAGUAACGCGUAGGUAACCUGCCUUGUAGCGGGGGAUAACUAUUGGAAACGAUAGCUAAUACCGCAUAACAGCUUUUGACACAUGUUAGAAGCUUGAAAGAUGCAAUUGCAUCACUACGAGAUGGACCUGCGUUGUAUUAGCUAGUAGGUAGGGUAACGGCCUACCUAGGCGACGAUACAUAGCCGACCUGAGAGGGUGAUCGGCCACACUGGGACUGAGACACGGCCCAGACUCCUACGGGAGGCAUCAGUAGGGAAUCUUCGGCAAUGGGGGCAACCCUGACCGAGCAACGCCGCGUGAGUGAAGAAGGUUUUCGGAUCGUAAAGCUCUGUUGUAAGAGAAGAACGUGUGUGAGAGUGGAAAGUUCACACAGUGACGGUAACUUACCAGAAAGGGACGGCUAACUACGUGCCAGCAGCCGCGGUAAUACGUAGGUCCCGAGCGUUGUCCGGAUUUAUUGGGCGUAAAGCGAGCGCAGGCGGUUUAAUAAGUCUAAAGUUAAAGGCAGUGGCUUAACCAUUGUUCGCUUUGGAAACUGUUAAACUUGAGUGCAGAAGGGGAGAGUGGAAUUCCAUGUGUAGCGGUGAAAUGCGUAGAUAUAUGGAGGAACACCGGUGGCGAAAGCGGCUCUCUGGUCUGUAACUGACGCUGAGGCUCGAAAGCGUGGGGAGCAAACAGGAUUAGAUACCCUGGUAGUCCACGCCGUAAACGAUGAGUGCUAGGUGUUAGGCCCUUUCCGGGGCUUAGUGCCGCAGCUAACGCAUUAAGCACUCCGCCUGGGGAGUACGACCGCAAGGUUGAAACUCAAAGGAAUUGACGG
rnacentral:rRNA from 1 species